GGGUGUAGACGUAUUCGGCUGUUGAACGCUCCUAUUACCGAUUGAAUGCGCACUGUUGCUUUAAGACCGAUGGAUCUGAAUCGCUCGCUGCACAGCGUAUAAAGCCUCGUGAACAGAUUGUAGCAUUCUUAUUUGAGAAAACCAAUCGAAGCAUUCGUUGGACUUUAAGACAGGGAAUUUUUCAAAACAUGGAUAGCAAAACGUUUAUGUUUUUGGUCGUAUGCUGGACGUUUGUUGCAUUGUCGCGUUUGACAGAUGCGCGCGCAGCGUUCUUCGAUGAUAUAGUUGAUGACAAUCGUUCGGUUCAAAAACGCUCACUGGACACAGCGACAUUUCAACUGAUCAUGUACUGCCUAACACGAGGAAGAAAUGACCCUGUCUGUAAACCUGACCGCGAUAUCGUCGUCGUGAAGAACGAAUAGCGCCCGCAAACGAAGGGACGCACAUCUGCUGAAGUAUAUAUCAAGGGCGACAACUUUGUACAUUGGCCAAUACAUGAGCAAUCGUCGUUAAAUACUUAUUGUUUAGUGGUUUUGCAUUUUCUGAUUCGCCCACAGCAAAUACGACAUAUGAUAUACACCGUCAUGAAAUAUAUAAUGUAAACUAGUUACGUACUGGUUCAUUUACAUUUACCAUAACGUUCUAUAAUAGUUUAAAAGAAACAAAAGCAAGAAGUGUGGUCUACGGUGAGACAACAGUAAGGAGGGAUUUUAGUAUUUAAUAUAAUAAAUGUUGGUUGAUAGAUUUAAUUUAUUAAAUUACGUUUUUAAACCAUUGCAUCGGUUAAAAUAAAACAUACGCAUUAA